rnacentral:rRNA from 1 species
UACAGAGGGGGCAAGCGUUGUUCGGAAUUACUGGGCGUAAAGGGCGCGUAGGCGGCCUUCUAAGUCGAACGUGAAAUCCCUGGGCUCAACCCAGGAACUGCGUCCGAUACUGGUUGGCUUGAGUUUGGGAGAGGGAUGCGGAAUUCCAGGUGUAGCGGUGAAAUGCGUAGAUAUCUGGAGGAACACCGGUGGCGAAGGCGGCAUCCUGGACCAAUACUGACGCUGAGGAGCGAAAGCCAGGGGAGCAAACGGG